rnacentral:rRNA from 1 species
CAGCCGCCGCGGUAAAACAGAGGGUGCGAGCGUUAAUCGGAUUUACUGGGCGUAAAGCGUGCGUAGGCGGCUUUUUAAGUCGGAUGUGAAAUCCCUGAGCUUAACUUAGGAAUUGCAUUCGAUACUGGGAAGCUAGAGUAUGGGAGAGGAUGGUAGAAUUCCAGGUGUAGCGGUGAAAUGCGUAGAGAUCUGGAGGAAUACCGAUGGCGAAGGCAGCCAUCUGGCCUAAUACUGACGCUGAGGUACGAAAGCAUGGGGAGCAAACAGGAUUAGAUACCCGCGUAGUCCCUGUCUCUUAUAC